rnacentral:misc_RNA from 1 species
AAGUCGUAACAAGGUUUCCGUAGGUGAACCUGCGGAAGGAUCAUUAGUGAAUUUGUAGCCUCCAAGGCUUACAUUCUCUAUCCUUUACACACCUGUGCACCCUUCUGAAGCGGAGAGUUAUUAGGCAUUAGCCGAGCGCCUCCCUUCGGUUAUUAUAUCAAACUCAAACUACGUUUACUAGAAUGUAUACCGUCUUGUUGUAACGACAAGUACAAUCCAAUAAAACUUUCAGCAACGGAUCUCUUGGCUCAG